rnacentral:rRNA from 1 species
AACGAACGUUAGCGGCGCGCCUAACACAUGCAAGUCGAACGCGACAGGGGCAACUCUGUUGAGUGGCGCACGGGUGAGUAACACGUAGGUAAUCUCCCCUCGAGUGGUGGAUAACUUUCCGAAAGGAGAGCUAAUACAGCAUGAGACCACGGCUUCGAAAGGAGCUGAGGUCAAAGCGGAGGAUCGCAAGACUUCGCGCUUGAGGAUGAGCCUGCGGCCCAUCAGGUAGUUGGCGGGGUAAUGGCCCACCAAGCCUUAGACGGGUAGCUGGUCUGAGAGGAUGAUCAGCCACACAGGAACUGAGACACGGUGCAGACUCCUACGGGAGGCAGCAGUGGGGAAUCUUGCGGAAUGGACGAAAGUCUGACGCAGCGACGCCGCGUGGGUGAUGAAGGCCUUCGGGUUGUAAAGCCCUGUGGGGAGGGACGAAUAAGUUGCGGUUAAUACCCGCAGCGAUGACGGUACCUCCUUAGCAAGCACCGGCUAACUCUGUGCCAGCCGCCGCGGUAAUAC